UAGGCAUGCAAGUCGUACGAACCUUCGGGUUAGUGGCGAACGGGUGAGUAACACGUGGGUAACCUGCCUCGUAGUGGGGAAUAACUCGCCGAAAGGCGAGCUAAUACCGCAUAACACCCUCGGUGAGAAUCCGAGUGGUAAAAGCUCCGGCGCUACGAGAGGGGCCCGCGGCCGAUUAGCUUGUUGGUGGGGUAACGGCCUACCAAGGCGACGAUCGGUAGCUGGUCUGAGAGGAUGGUCAGCCACACGGGGACUGAGAUACGGCCCCGACUCCUACGGGAGGCAGCAGCUAAGAAUCUUGCGCAAUGGGCGAAAGCCUGACGCAGCAAUUCCGCGUGGGGGACGAAGGCCCUCGGGUCGUAAACCCCUUUUGUGAGGGAAGAAGUUCUGACGGUACCUCACGAAUAAGACACG
rnacentral:rRNA from 1 species